AGUGAACGCUGGCGGUAGGCCUAACACAUGCAAGUCGAACGGCAGCACAGUAAGAGCUUGCUCUUACGGGUGGCGAGUGGCGGACGGGUGAGGAAUACAUCGGAAUCUACUUUUUCGUGGGGAUAACGUAGGGAAACUUACGCUAAUACCGCAUACGACCUACGGGUGAAAGCAGGGGAUCUUCGGACCUUGCGCGAUUGAAUGAGCCGAUGUCGGAUUAGCUAGUUGGCGGGGUAAAGGCCCACCAAGGCGACGAUCCGUAGCUGGUCUGAGAGGAUGAUCAGCCACACUGUAACUGAGACACGGUCCAGACUCCUACGGGAGGCAGCAGUGGGGAAUAUUGGACAAUGGGCGCAAGCCUGAUCCAGCCAUACCGCGUGGGUGAAGAAGGCCUUCGGGUUGUAAAGCCCUUUUGUUGGGAAAGAAAAGCAGCAGGUUAAUACCCCGCUGUUCUGACGGUACCCAAAGAAUAAGCACCGGCUAACUUCGUG
rnacentral:rRNA from 1 species